rnacentral:rRNA from 1 species
GACGAACGCUGGCGGCGUGCUUAACACAUGCAAGUCGAACGGUGAACCUCUUCGGAGGGGAACAGUGGCGAACGGGUGAGUAACACGUGGGCAACCUGCCCCCGGCUCUGGGAUAACUCCAAGAAAUUGGGGCUAAUACCGGAUGUUCACCGCUUCCCGCAUGGGUGGUGGUGGAAAGGGUUUCCGGCUGGGGAUGGGCCCGCGGCCUAUCAGCUUGUUGGUGGGGUAGUGGCCUACCAAGGCGACGACGGGUAGCCGGCCUGAGAGGGUGACCGGCCACACUGGGACUGAGACACGGCCCAGACUCCUACGGGAGGCAGCAGUGGGGAAUAUUGCGCAAUGGGCGGAAGCCUGACGCAGCGACGCCGCGUGGGGGAUGACGGCCUUCGGGUUGUAAACCUCUUUCAGCAGGGACGAAGCGCAAGUGACGGUACCUGCAGAAGAAGCACCGGCCAACUACGUG